CAAUCACGUCUCUUUCCCUUCACCCCAGAUUUAAGCACUUUAUUAGAAUUUGUUGGUAAUUAUUUUUUGGUAUUGGUUAUAGUUUAUCACAUAUAUGUCUGUCUAAAAAUAAGUGUUAAUAUUUAUUGGGUAUAAACCGAGGAGUGGGAUAGCUGGGUCAAAUGUUGGUUCCAUUCCAAGUUUUCUGAGGAAUCUCCAUAUUGCUUUCCAUAUUGGCUACACCAAUUUGCAGUCCCACCAGCAAUGUAUGAGAGUGCUUUUUUCCCCACAUACUGACCAACACUUAUUGUUGUUUGUAUUCUUAAUAGCUGCCAUUCUGACUGGAGUGAGAUGAAAUCUUAGAGUAGUUUUGAUUUUCAUAUUUACUAAUCUUUACAGAAAUAUAGUCAGACUACAUGUGACUUUUUUUCUUUAAAAACAUGCUUUUACAUUGUAUGUUUAUUUUGUAAUCCAAUAUUUUUAGUCCUCUGUGCAAAUUGUUUAUUCAUUACUCUUCUUAUGGAAAAUUGGGUUACUUAUAGCUUUUGGAUAUAACAUAUUCCUGCUAUGAGCACUAUUUUGCAAUCCUCUCAAUUCACAUUAAUAUAUAUAAUUUCAUAUGUUGUGUUGAUGAACAUAUUUUAGGUAUCCUUUAUUAAAAGCAUAAUAAAGAUACACCAAGUGUAUUUUCUCAAGGGUUAAAUAUUUAUUUGGAUUUAGAACACUGGAGUAAAAACAAUGUCAGAAUUUUUGAUGUUUUCUAUUUUGAAGUAUUCUAUCAUUUUUGUGUCCUACUAAAUAAUAUAAUGUUUUACUAAAUCUAUUUUUCACUUUGUCUUUUUUAUGAAAGCUAUAUUGGAUUCUUUGUUGCUAUCAUUUUCUAAAAGUGUACUAGAAUUAGAAUGUUUAUAAAUUACUUCAUUCACAGUGGUGAUCCUUUAGUAGUCAAACCCAGAGAUUUGCAUGUGUCAGGUAAUUGCUGU
rnacentral:lncRNA from 1 species